AGCCUUAAGAACUAUAUUUUAGGUUGUACCUGCCCAAUGUAAUAUUAUGAAUGGCCGCGGUACUUUGACCGUGCUAAGGUAGCGCAAUCAAUUGGCUUUUAAUUGUAGCCAGGUAUGAAUGGAGUUACGGGGUUUGGCUGUCUCCUAAUUAAUUUAUUGAAGUUACUAUUUAGGUGAAAAAGCCUAAGUGAUAAAAAAGGACGAGAAGACCCUUAGAGUUUGUCUUAUGUUAGAAUUAUUUUUAAAUCAGUUUUGUUGGGGCAACACGGGAUCAUUUAAACAUCCUUGGAAUAUAAGUCGAUAUUUAUAGGUGUGUAUAAACUACCUUAGGGAUAACAGCAUAAUUUUAUUAAUAAGUUUGUGACCUCGAUGUUGGACUAGGAAACUGAAAGGCUAGCCGCCUUUUAGGUGAGUUCUGUUCGAACUAUUAUUCCU
rnacentral:rRNA from 1 species